rnacentral:rRNA from 1 species
GUCUACGGCCAUGCCACCCUGAACAAGCCUGAUGUCUGACCUUGGAAGCUGAGCAGGGUCGAGCCUGGUUAGUACUUGGAUGGGAGACCACCUAGGAAAACCAGGUGCUGUAGGCA